UACGUAGGGACCAAGCGUUGUUCGGAUGUACUGGGCGGAAAGGGCGCGUAGGCGGCGUGGUAAGUCACGUGUGAAAUCUCUGAGCUUAACUCAGAACGGCCAAGUGAUACUGCUGUGCUAGAGUGCAGAAGGGGCAAUCGGAAUUCUUGGUAUAGCGGUGAAAUGCGUAGAUAUCAAGAGGAACACCUGAGGUGAAGACGGGUUGCUGGGCUGACACUGACGCUGAGGCGCGAAAGCCAGGGGAGCAAACGGG
rnacentral:rRNA from 1 species